rnacentral:rRNA from 1 species
UAUACUGGCGGACGGGUGAGUAACGCGUAGGCAACCUGCCCUUAUGACCGGAAUAACUACGAGAAAUUGUGGCUAAUACCGGAUAAGACAUACUGUUCGCAUGGACGGGAUGUCAAAGUUACCGCAAGGUAAUGCAUAGGGAUGGGCCUGCGUUCCAUUAGUUAGUUGGCGGGGUAACGGCCCACCAAGGCAGCGAUGGAUAGCUGAUCUGAGAGGGUGAUCAGCCACACUGGGACUGAGAUACGGCCCAGACUCCUACGGGAGGCAGCAGUGAGGAAUAUUGCGCAAUGGACGUAAGUCUGACGCAGCAACGCCGCGUGAGGGAUGAAGCACUAUGGUGUGUAAACCUCUGUAGAGAGGGAAGAAAGUUAUUUACUAAAAGGUAAGUAUUUGACGGUACCUCUAAAGUAAGCUCCGGCUAACUCCGUGCCAGCAGCCGCGGUAAUACGGGGGGAGCAAGCGUUGUCCGGAAUCACUGGGCGUAAAGGGCGUGUAGGCUGGUUGGUAAGUCAGAUGUGAAAGGCUGCGGCUUAACCGUAGAUGUGCAUUUGAUACUGCCGAUCUUGAGUGCGAGAGAGGGUAGUGGAAUUCCCAGUGUAGCGGUGAAAUGCGUAGAUAUUGGGAAGAACACCAGUAGCGAAGGCGGCUACCUGGCUCGCAACUGACGCUAAGGCGCGAAAGCGUGGGGAUCAAACAGGAUUAGAUACCCUGGUAGUCCACGCUGUAAACGAUGGGCACUAGGUGUUGGUCUCGUCUAUGGGAUCAGUGCCGCAGCAAACGCAUUAAGUGCCCCGCCUGGGGAGUACGAUCGCAAGGUUGAAACUCAAAGGAAUUGACGGGGGCCCGCACAAGCGGUGGAGCAUGUGGUUUAAUUCGAUGCAACGCGCAGAACCUUACCGGGGUUUGACAUCCCGCUAAUCGCCACAGAGAUGUGGUUUGGUAGCAAUACCUGGCGGGACAGGUGCUGCAUGGCUGUCGUCAGCUCGUGUCGUGAGAUGUUGGGUUAAGUCCCGCAACGAGCGCAACCCUUGCCUCUAGUUACCAUCAAGUAAAGUUGGGGACUCUAGAGGGACUGCCGGUGACAAACUGGAGGAAGGUGGGGAUGACGUCAAGUCCUCAUGGCCCUUACAUCCCGGGCUACACACGUGCUACAAUGGCCGGUACAACGAGUCGCGAAACUGUGAAGUGGAGCCAAUCUCUAAAAACCGGUCUCAGUUCGGAUUGCAGUCUGCAACUCGACUGCAUGAAGUUGGAAUCGCUAGUAAUCGCGGAUCAGCACGCCGCGGUGAAUACGUUCCCGGGCCUUGUACACACCGCCCGUCACGCCAUGGAAGUUGGCAGUA